rnacentral:rRNA from 1 species
UGCCAGCCGCCGCGGUAAUACAGAGGGUGCGAGCGUUAAUCGGAAUAACUGGGCGUAAAGGGUGCGCAGGCGGAACGCUAAGUCAGAUGUGAAAGCCCCGAGCUCAACUUGGGAAUUGCAUUUGAAACUGGCGAUCUAGAGCAGAGAAGAGGAGAGUAGAAUUUCAGGUGUAGCGGUGAAAUGCGUAGAUAUCUGAAGGAAUACCAGUGGCGAAGGCGGCUCUCUGGUCUCUUGCUGACGCUCAGGCACGACAGCGUGGGUAGCGAACAGGAUUAGAUA